rnacentral:lncRNA from 1 species
CCCUCACCACUUUCUUGUAAAAAAUUAUUUAUCUCAAUAUUUUGACUAAAAAUCACAAUAUUUUCUCUCAGAAAUUCCAAUUUCUUCAACUUCGUCUAUAAUAUUACGACCAACAAUAAUUUCAUAAGAAUCAUUUUUUGAAGAAACUUCUUCUACUAAAUAUUCAAUAUUCAAACUUAAAUUCAAAUUUAUUCUAUUGUUGUUCACACUUUCCAUUUUGUAUUUAUCUUCCAAAAAUAAAAAGAACAAAAAAGGUUAUUCAUCUGACUAUGGAAAGUUAUUUAAAAAAAAUUGGAAU